rnacentral:rRNA from 1 species
ACAGAGGUGGCGAGCGUUGUUCGGAUUUACUGGGCGUAAAGGGUGCGUAGGCGGCUUCGUGUGUCGGAUGUGAAAGCCCAUGGCUCAACCGUGGAACUGCAUCCGAAACUGCGGGGCUAGAGUACUGGAGGGGUGAGCGGAAUUCUUGGUGUAGCGGUGAAAUGCGUAGAUAUCAAGAGGAACGCCGGUGGCGAAGGCGGCUCACUGGACAGAUACUGACGCUGAGGCACGAAAGCUGGGGGAGCAAACAGG